AUUUACUUGCCUCCCAAAAUUUCAUAGCAGUUCAUCCAUUUUCCCCACUUAAUUAUGAAUUUAUUCCAAAAUACCCUCCCCGCCUUAGUUAUCCCACUUCCUCAAAAUCCCUAACCCUAAACUCACUCCUAAUCCCGCUUCAUCAAAAUCCCUCUCCACCGCACCAUCAGAUGAACCGGCCCCAAAAUUUCAUAGCAGUUCAACCCAAGGGAACUUUCUAUGGAUAAAUUUGCAAUCAGUUGAACUUUAAUUUGCACUCUUUUGUUCAACACUAUUGCAAUUUGAAGUUAUGCCACUUUGAAGCAGUCAAUCCUUUGAUAUAUUUACCAGAGGUUGCUAAAUAGACCAAAUGGAAUGACCGACGAAGAAAUUUAUGACCAGUUUAAUGUCAUGAAAAAGUUAAUGGAUGAUCGAUCAUUUGGAUAGAAUAUAUACAAUCAGGUCAUUGUUACACUAGUAUCAGUUUGCGCAGUGAACUUAAAUCAAAACCGGUAAUGGUACGUGAAUAAUACUUUCCUGUUGUAUAUUUCAGCAAAAAUUGCCACGUGACAUGAAGCACAAGAUAGAGUUUCCAAAACAUGCUAGCUGGCAUUUGUGAUUCAUAUGGGUUGAUUUUGGGUGUCUUUUGAUUCAAGUUUAUCACAUAUUAAUUAUUUGUUGAAGUUCAUACUAUGUACAAAAAAGUGUUUGUAGAUCAAGAAAGCCUUGUCUGGUGCUAACAAUUAACUUGUUUCACUCUAAGCACGUUUUGACACUAAUGUGAUCUGUUUGGUGUUAAUUAAACUUUUUAAGGUGUACUAAAUGGAUUAAUGACAACAUUAGUCAGAUUCGUCUUAAUGGUUUUAUGAUAAGGAUCGUCAAGGGAUUCGAUGAAGAUAUAUAUGGCAUGAUGAUUGAAAAAUCGAACUUGGUUAUCAAGGAGCUCGUUAAGGAAAAGAAUGAAGAAAAAGAAAGGUUAAAUGGAAUUAUUGCGGGCUUGUUGGCUGAAAAAGAAAAAGAUAAGGUGGACAAAGAUGUCAUGCUCAAUAGGAUGUCACAAAUUGAAGCUAUGUUAACCGCUAUGAUUCGAAGAUAGGCUAUAAACACUUGGUUUUGAACGUUUUGAUGUUUAUCAUAUUUGGAUAAUUUCGGUAAUUUGAUGUUUUAGUUGGCAUUUAGAUUAGAAUGUUUUAUAAUUUUAUAUAUUUUUCGGAUUUUGUAAUUUUA